ensembl:lncRNA
GACACACAUUUUUGCCAUUUCUCACGUCACACAAUUUUUUCUCAGUUGGAAAUCACAACACUGUGUCUUUUUCUGAUCUCUAAUGAUUUUUUUUUUUUUACCUGUUGUAGUCCAGGUAGCCUGCUUUCUUAAACCCGAAUACUGGGUGUUUGUCAGCACUGGGAUAUUGAUUUUCUUGUGUUAUAACAGAGGUCCUUAAGAACACAACGCUAUGAUAGAGUUAUCUACAAAGCCUUGUCAGUUCUCUCUCCCACAGAGCUUCUGGUUUUGGAUUGUUGGGGCUAAAGAAGCAUGGUUGUCCAGUGGUUUGUUCCGCACUCACUUGGCAAAGUCGCUUGGUGCACAGAUUCAGUGUUUAUUCAGUAUUCCCAAAGGUUCUCCAGGUUUGAUGAGAUUGUUUGAAAUGCUUGCAAAUGGAGUGUUUACAUUGCCAUUCAUGAUCGUGUUUCCUUUCAGGUUGUAACAUUGUUCAGGAGAGUAGGUGAAAUCCACACCGUUAUGGCUUUCGCUGCCACUUAAACAUUUUGGCUUAAAGCAUCCACAAAGUCUUAAUAGCUUCUCUCUCUCCUGAGUGAUUCUCCUUUAAUGUUGGAUUUUCACUGAACCUCACAUACCUAAGUCGCUCUUCCAUGACCAAGAUGUCAAGAUGAAAUUGACCUUUUCAUGGUCAAGUCAGGACUAUGUUAAUAGCUGACCAAAACUAUUUACAAAUUCUGCUAAACAAUGUAAUGACAUAUGAGAUGGCUAAGAUGGAGCAGGCUCACAGUGGCACGCUUCAUCAAAACUCCACCAGUCCCUGUGAGUCUUCGCCAUAUUUGUCAAACUCUUUUCUGCUAUAAGCAGAGGCAAAAGGUUUUGAGUCAGCACUGAGUAGGAGUUAUGCCAUCAUACAGAUAUCUAGGAGUUAACAGUCAGAUCUGUCUUACUCAGUGCAAGUGUCCACCAAUACUCCCAUGCUGUGUGAUCUCCCUCAAGACGAUCUAUUUCAUAACCUUACCUGGCACUGAGGUCAGGCUGACAGGCCUGUAGAUCCCCAGAUCCUCCUUACAACCCUUUCUGAUGAGAUGAGAUUUAACUACAUAAAACUUAAAGUAGAGAAAGUAAACUAUUCAGAGGUUACCCUUCAAAGUCUCUCUGCUACCUUGAGUUCUGCAGUGGAG